GUGUCAGCAGCCGCGGUAAUACGAAGGGGGCUAGCGUUGUUCGGAAUUACUGGGCGUAAAGGGCGCGUAGGCGGACGCUUAAGUCAGGGGUGAAAUGCCAAGGCUCAACCUUGGAACUGCCUUUGAUACUGAGUGUCUGGAGAUCGGGAGAGGUGAGUGGAAUUCCGAGUGUAGAGGUGAAAUUCGUAGAUAUUCGGAGGAACACCAGAAGCGAAGGCGGCUCACUGGCCCGAGACUGACGCUGAGGCGCGAAAGCGUGGGGAGCAAACAGGAUUAGAUACCCGCGUAGUCC
rnacentral:rRNA from 1 species